UACAAUGCUGGCAACAGCGAUAAGGGAACCUCGAGUGCCAGGUUACAAAUCCGGCUGUCGAGAUGCCUAAAAAAGCAUUUCAUAGCAAGGGCCGGGCAAGACCGGUGCCAGCCGCCGCGGUAACACCGGCGGCUCGAGUGGUAACCGUUAUUAUUGGGUCUAAAGGGUCUGUAGCCGGCCGGAUAAGUCUCUUGAGAAAUCUGGCAGCUUAACUGUCAGGCUUUCAGGAGAUACUGUCUGGCUCGAGGCCGGGAGAGGUGAGAGGUACUUCAGGGGUAGGGGUGAAAUCUUGUAAUCCUUGAAGGACCACCAGUGGCGAAGGCGUCUCACCAGAACGGACCUGACGGCAAGGGACGAAAGCUAGGGGCACGAACCGGAUUAGAUACCCGGGUAGUCCUAGCCGUAAACGAUACUCGCUAGGUGUCGGCCACGGUGCGACCGUUGUCGGUGCCGUAGGGAAGCCGUGAAGCGAGCCACCUGGGAAGUACGGCCGCAAGGCUGAAACUUAAAGGAAUUGGCGGGGGAGCACCACAACGGGUGGAGCUUGCGGUUUAAUUGGAUUCAACGCCGGAAAUCUUACCGGGACCGACAGCAAUAUGAAGGCCAGGCUGAAGACUUUGCCGGAUUAGCUGAGAGGUGGUGCAUGGCCGUCGUCAGUUCGUACUGUGAAGCAUCCUGUUAAGUCAGGUAACGAGCGAGACCC
rnacentral:rRNA from 1 species